AUUGAACGCUGGCGGCAGGCCUAACACAUGCAAGUCGAACGAGUGGCGGACGGGUGAGUAAUGUCUGGGAAACUGCCUGCUGGAGGGGGAUAACUACUGGAAACGGUAGCUAAUACCUCAUACCAGCGGAUGUGCCCAGAGGGGAUUAGCUAGUAGGUGGGGUAAAGGCUCACCUAGGCGACGAUCCCUAGCUGGUCUGAGAGGAUGACCAGGCAAACUGGAACAGAGACACGGUGCAGACUCCUAGGGGAGGCAGCAGUGGGGAAGUGGGCACAAUGGGCGCAAGCCUGAUGCAGCCAUGCCGCGUGUAUGAAGAAGGCAUGCGGGUUGUAAAGUACUUUCAGCGGGGAGGCGUUACCCGCAGAAGAAGCACCGGCUAACUCCGUGCCAGCAGCCGCGGUAAUUC
rnacentral:rRNA from 1 species